UACGUAGGUGGCGAGCGUUGUCCGGAUUUACUGGGCGUAAAGAGCGCGCAGGCGGUCGUACAAGUCGCGUGUGAAAGCCCCUGGCUCAACUGGGGAGGGUCACGCGAUACUGUUCGACUUGAAGGCAGGAGAGGGAAGUGGAAUUCCCGGUGUAGUGGUGAAAUGCGUAGAUAUCUGGAGGAACACCGGUGGCGAAGGCGGCAUCCUGGACCGGGAUUGACACUGAGGCGCGAAAGCCAGGGGAGCAAACGGG
rnacentral:rRNA from 1 species